GCUGGCCGGCCAGGAGGUGGGACAAAGGGAGCGCGCAUCCGCGUGGCGCGCGUCCCCGCCUCCCGUUUGGUCGCGGCUCCUUAUAAUGGCGGAAACGAUUUUAAGACUUUUGGGCCAGUGGAGAUAAUUUCCAAGGCGGUACCUGAAGCUUCCCCGUCCCUCCAAGGAGAACCUAUGGGGAGAGAGAGCCGGAUCUGUAGAGGACACAGAAUGUGCCAUCACUGUUGAUCAUUGUCAUCUCUUUGAAGAGAGAAAGAAUCUAAGGCACAGAAAGCUUCCACUGCACAGCAGAUGAGUGGUUGAAGCAUGACUUUAGUCCAGGCAGUCUGAUUUCAGAACCCACAUUCUUCACACAAAGCUCUACUGCCUCCUGGUGUUUAUUAACAGUCCUUGGACUACAAGCAUUAGAAUCCCCAGUGAUGUUGGUUAAAUGCAGUUCCUUGGGCCAUCCCAUGUGGGCUGAUUCAGAAUCCUGCUGUAAAUAGGGAGUUUUCAACAUGGCUCACCGGGGAGAAGACAGAGACAAGGUCCUUAGCAGAAGCAAUAUGUACUUUAAUUAAAAGCAUUCAAAAGUCAUGAAAUUAUUUUUUAAUGAAGCAAUUAGUUUUUAAGUGUGCAGAUAACCUAAAAGAAGAAAAUGACAUUUCUAAAUAGCAAGUCAAAUGGCAUUUGUAUAAUCACUUCAGGACCACCUUCCAAAAAUAAAAUGAAAGCAAAUUC